rnacentral:tRNA from 1 species
CAUUUUAUAUUUUAAAUAAAAUUUUAAAUUGCAAAUUUAAAGAUAUCUAAUUGAUUAAAAUGU